UCCGCUAGGUGAUGCUGCGCCCGCCUGCGCGCCGCGCCGCCCGCGGGGCUGGGCUGGCUCCUGACGCACCAGGUUGCAGCCUUAGGUGACGGGGUCCCUCGAGGUGCCCCCGGGCGCGGGGAGACGCCUUUCCACAGCGCUAGAGCCUCCGAGUGUCCCGGUGCCUCUGCAGACCUAACAUUCAUUUCAGCAUGUGAGAUGAUUUUUCCCUCCACCAGAUGGAUUCCUCUUCUGGGAAAGACGAGAAUUCUACCAUCCCUGCUGGGUUCUGUCUUCAGCUCUCCUUUCUGCGGCACUAGUACAGUUCAGCUUCAUAAGGAGGCUUUUCAGCAGAGAAGCCUGUGGGGUUGAACCAGUGUCAUGGGGGAAUGAAUUCUUCAAUAGAUCUCUAGCCUCCUUUCUCAAAAUUAAAAUGUGGUGACUUGAGGAAAAGCAUAUGUAUAUAAACGACACAUCUGUGUUCUGA